rnacentral:rRNA from 1 species
AACGAACGCUGGCGGCGCGUUUUAAGCAUGCAAGUCGAGCGGUAAGGUCCUUCGGGACCCCAGAGCGGCGGACGGGUGAGUAACACGUGGAUAAUCUGCCUUCCAGUCCGGGAUAGCACAUGGAAACAUGUGAUAAUACCGGAUACGAUGUGCCGGUCAGAUGACUGGUGCAGGAAAGGUCCUGCGGGAUCGCUGGGAGAUGAGUCCGCGGCCCAUUAGCUUGUUGGGACGGGGUAAAGGCCCACCGAAGGCGACGAGUGGGUAGCCGGCCUGAGAGGGUGGACGGCCACAGUUGGGACU